GGCGUCGCGGAGCUCGGGCCGGUGGAAGGUUUACCUGCUAGGCUCGUCCCACCUGUGUGGAGCUCCCAUCGCCCUCCAGCGUUGCGCAGCCUGAAGGGACAGGACGGACAAGCGGGUGCCUCCUUCUAAUUCAUCUUCACCAUUGUGGUUGUCAAUAUGGCAUGCAGAAUUAUCCCUCUUUCCAGGUUUUCCCCAAGGACCCUGGACAAUGCUGGUUUUUCCUAUGUGCACCACCAAAGGGCCUAUCCAGCUUCUGGAGUCUACCUGGAUUCCUGGGCUCAUGGCCCCUUCCUCCAUCUUCAAACCAGCAAUGGAAAUGGAAAUGAAAGCAAAAUGGAAGGACGUGAGGUCCUUAUCCUUGGAGAUCCUAUGGAGUCUCCACAGACAUUCCUUGAAGAAAUCAGAUGGAGCUGAGCCUGACACUCUAACCGGUUCUCUGGGUGUACUGCAAAGGUCUAAUAAAAGGCACCUUUGCCCGGUUGCUUCAAUUCUAGGAAGCUGUUCAAUGUUUGACUAUAUUUCUCCAUACUCAUUUGAAAACAGUUCAUCAGGUUAGUUCAGUUGAAUUAUUGCUCCUUGGGAGUUUUCCAAACCCUGGAUUUCCUUCGGAGAGAGCUAGAUUCUAUUCCAUUCUUGGAAUUCAGCUCCUUGCCCUUCUCUGUGACCCCGGAUCGCGAAUGCAGUAAAAAUAAAAAUAUCCUGCUGCCUCCUGCACUAAGAAA
rnacentral:lncRNA from 1 species